ACACAGGGAAAGCAGGCUAAGUUCGCGCCGUCCUGGCGGCAGGCUCAAAGCGCAACUUCCUGUUGCUUCACCUCCACUAGUACUUCCUGGUACGUCGCAACGCCUGCAUGCAUGACCCACAUCCUGUAGG
rnacentral:sRNA from 1 species